UACGAAGGGGGCUAGCGUUGUUCGGAAUUACUGGGCGUAAAGCGCACGUAGGCGGAUAUUUAAGUCAGGGGUGAAAUCCCAGAGCUCAACUCUGGAACUGCCUUUGAUACUGGGUAUCUUGAGUAUGGAAGAGGUGAGUGGAAAUUCCGAGUGUAGAGGUGAAAUUCGUAGAUAUUCGGAGGAACACCAGUGGCGAAGGCGGCUCACUGGUCCAUAACUGACGCUGAGGUGCGAAAGCGUGGGGAGCAACAGGG
rnacentral:rRNA from 1 species